AACUUUCAGCAAUGGAUCUCUUGGCUCUUGCAUCGAUGAAGAACGCAGCGAAAUGCGAUACGUAAUGUGAAUUGCAGAUUCGUGACUCAUCGAAAUUUUGAACGCAUAUUGCACCUAGCGGCCAUUCCGUUAGGUAUGCUUGUUUGAGUGUCUGUC
rnacentral:rRNA from 2 species